rnacentral:rRNA from 1 species
CACCGCGGUUAUACGAGAGACCCAAGUUGAUAGACACCGGCGUAAAGAGUGGUUAAGACUUACUUAACACUAAAGCCGAACGCCUUCAGAGCUGUUAUACGCAUCCGAAGGUAAGAAGCCCAACUACGAAAGUGGCUUUACAACAUCUGAAUCCACGAAAGCUAUGAUA